UUUAGGAGAGAGAUUGUAAGUGGGAGGGCCAGGAAAGAAGCCAAGCAGAAUGAGCUUGCUUUUGAAUCCAUCUUUAGCAGGUCAGAGAGCAGCUCUCCUCGACGGGAGAGAAAGAAAAGCUCAAAGAAGAAGAAGCACAGGUAUGAGGUGGGAAUACUUGAAUGAUUGGAGAAGGUUUGCUGAAUUCAGGCAGAGGUGUUUCUUAUGUUUUUUCUUCUCUUUUUUCCAACAGGUCAGAAUCUGAGUCCAAGAAACGUAAGCAUAGGUCUCCCACUCCAAAGAGCAAACGUAAAUCUAAGGACAAAAAGCGAAAGCGGUGAGUGAAUUUGUGGGGAAUUUGCUUAGGAAGUAAGUGAACGCCACCUUAGUGGGAGGGAGUUGAAUGAGUUAUGUCCCUGACUGGUAAAGGGUUGAGGGAUACGUGAGGAGAAUCCAAGGCAGGUACAGCAGUACCCUGAGCUG
rnacentral:sRNA from 1 species